AUUGAACGCUGGCGGCAGGCUUAACACAUGCAAGUAGAACGAGUGGCGGACGGGAGAGUAAUGCUUGGGAAUCUAGCUUAUGGAGGGGGAUAACUACGGGAAACUGUAGCUAAUACCGCGUACCAUAGGAUGAGCCCAAGCGGGAUUAGGUAGUUGGUGAGGUAAAGGCUCACCAAGCCGACGAUCUCUAGCUGGUCUGAGAGGAUGACCAGCCACACGGGGACUGGGCAACGGCCCAGACUCCUACGGAGGGCCGCGUGGGGGAAUAUUGCGCAAUGGGGGCAACCCUGACGCAGCCAUGCCGCGUGAAUGAAGAAGGCCUUAGGGGUGUAAAGUACUUUCAGCGGGGAGGCGUUACCCGCAGAAGAAGCACCGGCUAACUCCGUGCCAGCAGCCGCGGUAAUAC
rnacentral:rRNA from 1 species